AGUGUCUGUGCGUUCUUUCCUCCAGAUGGACCAGAAACAAAGAUCUCAGGACAGACACUUUAUGUGGGGAGGGUCAUUCAAGGAAACCCCAGUGCAGAAAGAGAAGAGAAGGCAGCCAGUCAGCAGCAAGGGACCACUACCAGCAGCAGUCGCGUGGCCAGUCAGCCCAGAGCCUCCAGGAGACUGCGGAGUAGGAUUGAGUAAGACCCAUCUCAGAUGCCUCCCUACGCCUCACAACCAGGACAGUGUUCCACAGAAGAGAACACAGGUGUGGAACUCAGCUCCCUCUCCAGCACAUGUCUGUCUGCGUGCUGCCAUGCUUCCCCUGUGAUGAUAGAACUCAAACGGAAGGAGCCUGGAGGCAGGAGCUGACACAGGGGCAGUGGAGGGUGCUGUUUACUGACCUGCUGCUGGUGGCCUGUUGCCUGCCUUCUCACAGAACCCAGGACUGCCACUGUGUGGUGGCCCCACCCACAAGGGGCCGGGCCCUUUCCGAUGAAUCACUAAGGAAAUGCUCUUCAAGCUUGCACACAGCCCAACCUCAACUGGUGUUUCUUCUCUCACAUGACCCCUCGCCAGAUA